UUCUGUGAAUUUAUUCUAGAAUUCUUUGUGUUUUCGACAUUUUUGAUGAUAAAAAUUAAGAAAUCAUUAUUUUUUUUUUCGAUUUUUACAUUAAUUGCUCAUUAUCUACGAGCCGCAUGGCCGCAAUUUACUUGAGAUUAGAACUCAUGCUAGCAUGAUUUGAAAUUUCGUGCAUAAACAAAUGAUCAAAUCUUUUGUUAAUAUAUUACGUUUUUUCGAUAAAAUCAAUAGACACGCACUAAAAUGCACAUCAUAACAAAUCGAAAUCUGUUAUAUUUGCUAAGCUUUGUGUGCGGAAACCAAUGGUCAACGGUUCUAAAAUGACGUAAAGUCCCUCAACUAUGGCGACCUCCCCAAAGGCCCUAAUCCACCACCACCUGAUAUGUUGAAUCCACCUUGGCAACGCACCCCAUCCCGUGCUAGAACGGGACAAGUUCAACAACAACUGUCAUCGUUUUUUCCCGAUUCACUUUACACUUUCCGUGGUCAGAUGCGCUUUCCGUGCUCAGAUGCGCUUUCCGUGCGCGGCCGUGUAGCGGUGGAGUAAUUGCGCGAUGGGUGUUGUGGAUCGUACGUACUGCUGCUGCUGCUGGAAUUGUCGUAAGGAUGGCUGCUACCGGUGGCAUUCGGCCGUCCUAGCAGCUGCUCAUAGACACCGCUGUGCUGCUGCAGGAUGCCCUGGUCCUGCCCAUCCCAACAUCGUCCUCACCGCAAUCGAUCACCCAGAUUGAGGCUCCAGCGGUGGAAGUAGUAGGAGCACAUUCUCCAAGCCGAUUGGGAUUUUCCAAGCCUGGUUCUCGGUGUACCAUCCUUCUGAUGUUCCGCUGGCCGAUCCUCUGUUGAAACCGUCGCCGUGAACGACCGCUCUCCCCCGCGUGCAGCAAUCUCCAGGCUCCAGGUCAAACGUGAAGCUGAAACGUCUCCUUGCGUUUCACGUUGGCCGUCCACUGCAACUCAAGUGGGGGCCCGGCUGGCCCUUCAAUCUGAUACUCGCUGCUAGGGUAACUUCAGCGUCAAUGAUGAUCCUUCAUCCAGAAAUUGCGUGCGUGUCUCGCACUCGCUUGUUCAACGCUUGCACAACCCGGUACACGACACAGGAGAAUCUCGAUCGACAAGGCUUUGUUACGUGGUUUGCGGCACAGCUUCAUCUGCGUUACAGUCUCAACACGUUCCAUGGGAGACAUGCGCUUCGCAUCAUUCUCUUAGCGUAUGAUCCGUGUUCGAUCCAACGAAGGUAGGGAGUUUCAAUUUGCGAUGGCGAGAAACCCGAUCGCGCACGAAUCGCGCAGCUCAUUCGCCUCCUCGAACACGAACCAUCUGAAUUUAGCAUCAUCUAUCGGCUCUGUUUUGCAUUUCCCAAUCAACUCUGGGGCUGUUUUGGACCCAUAACCUUUCUCCAUUUCGUGAUUGUUCUGCAGUUUGUGGCAACCGUUCUUCCUUCCGUCAGCACCGUGAAUGCCUGUUUGGCACUUUCAAUGAAGGCUUCUGUAAUCCAA